rnacentral:rRNA from 1 species
AUUGAACGCUGGCGGCAGGCCUAACACAUGCAAGUCGAGCGGAUGAAGGGAGCUUGCUCCUGGAUUCAGCGGCGGACGGGUGAGUAAUGCCUAGGAAUCUGCCUUGUAGUGGGGGAUAACGUCCGUAAACGGGCGCUAAUACCGCAUACGUCCUGAGGGAGAAAGUGGGGGAUCUUCGGACCCCACGCUAUCAGAUGAGCCUAGGUCGGAUUAGCUAGUUGGUGGGGUAAAGGCCUACCAAGGCGACGAUCCGUAACUGGUCUGAGAGGAUGAUCAGUCACACUGGAACUGAGACACGGUCCAGACUCCUACGGGAGGCAGCAGUGGGGAAUAUUGGACAAUGGGCGAAAGCCUGAUCCAGCCAUGCCGCGUGUGUGAAGAAGGUCUUCGGAUUGUAAAGCACUUUAAGUUGGGAGGAAGGGCAGUAAGUUAAUACCUUGCUGUUUUGACGGUACCAACAGAAUAAGCACCGGCUAACUUCGUG